AAACCCUAAUCUGAGAUUCACGGUAGAACAAGAAACUGAGAGACACACAAAGCGGCGAGCUUUGGAGCUAUCUGCGUGUCUCGUCGGUUACUUGUUUUAUCGUUGAAAACUCGAGCAGUUUUCGAUCUUCAUACGUCAGUUGCGGUGAAACAUAACUAGCUGUUUAUAGCAAUUCCAAAUCUUGUGUCUUUUAGGUGUUUGAUGAAAUGUUUUGUGGUGUUAUUUUAUCUUUUCUAGUCCAUCUUGGCAAAUCAGUUGAGCCCUCUUUUGGGCAAAUGAGCUGCUUUGAAUGCUAAUGGACUUACAGCUAAAUGCCUCUCCUGUUUUUAUUCAAGGUUACUCGAAGUUUAUUCGGGUAGCUAAUUAGUGGAGAUGAAAAUUUAAAUAGACUGAAUUAUUUUUUCUUCCCCUUUUUAUUUGGUGAUUUAAGUUUUGAUUAUAUAUUUGCAGAAGAAUUUAAUGGUGUUCUAUGAACUCGUGGGCGAUUUACGAGUCUUUUCUUGACAUACGGAUAUUAUGUCUGCUGAUUUUAUAUUUUGUACAGGUCUUAGUUUGAGUUUUGAAUUUUUGGUAUUUGCGUAUUGGCGAUGAUGAAAAAAAGGCCGGACUUACGGCUGCUACUAAACAGUUUGGUAGUAGAUUGAUGAUAUUUUUCCAAAAGGUGUUUUACUUUGGAGCCUAUAAUCUUGAUUUUUAAUUUUACAGUUUAUUUUUACGUUUCCUUUUUUUAAAUUGAAUAUAAUUCUUAAUUCAUGGUGUUGUUUGCUCAAGCUUUGAAAAUGUGAUUUUUGAGUUUUUUUGGGUUUAA